rnacentral:rRNA from 1 species
GACAGAGGGUGCAAACGUUGUUCGGAAUUACUGGGCGUAAAGCGCGUGUAGGCGGUUUGGUAAGUCGGAUGUGAAAGCCCGGGGCUCAACCUCGGAAGUGCAUUCGAUACUACCAAACUAGAGUACUGGAGAGGACGGUGGAACUCUCGGUGUAGAGGUGAAAUUCGUAGAUAUCGAGAAGAACACCGGUGGCGAAGGCGGCCGUCUGGACAGAUACUGACGCUGAGACGCGAAAGCGUGGGGAGCAAACAGG